rnacentral:tRNA from 1 species
GCUGGUGUAGCUCAGUUGGUAGAGCAGCUCACUCGUAAUGAGCAGGUCGUCGGUUCAAGUCCGCUCACCAGCU